rnacentral:rRNA from 1 species
UACAUGGGGUGCAAACGUUGCUCGGAAUUACUGGGCGUAAAGCGUGCGUAGACGGUUAUUUAAGUCGGGUGUGAAAGCCCCGGGCUCAACCUGGGAAUUGCAUUCGAGACUGAAUAGCUAGGGUACGGUAGAGGGAAGCGGAAUUUCCGGUGUAGCGGUGAAAUGCGUAGAUAUCGGAAGGAACAUCAGUGGCGAAAGCGGCUUCCUGGACCAGUACCGACGUUCAGGCACGAAAGCGUGGGGAGCAAACAGG